GGAAGAACGGUAAAUGCGGGAAAAUAAAAAUUACAAGUAGACUACUCCUAGAAAAUGCGAGAAAAAUGCGAGGAAAUAAGGGUGGUCUUUUGUUCAUAGAAAAAAGACCUCUUUUUAGGGCGUUAUUGACCUAUUUAUAGAUCGCCCCUUGAUCACUUAUUGCCUUUACACGAUCGGCCACUAUUUCCUAAUUUUUCGGACCACUUCCAGUCGAUCAGAACCGCUUGCAACUGCUUGCGAUUACUGUAACUUCCCUCAAGUCGCGCGGUUUAAGAUUCUUCCGAU
rnacentral:lncRNA from 1 species